AUUGAACGCUGGCGGCAGGCCUAACACAUGCAAGUCGAACGAGUGGCGGACGGGUGAGUAAUGUCUGGGAAACUGCCCGAUGGAGGGGGAUAACUAAUGGAAACGGUAGCUAAUACCGCAUACCAUCGGAUGUGCCCAGAUGGGAUUAGCUUGUAGGUGAGGUAACGGCUCACCUAGGCGACGAUCCCUAGCUGGUCUGAGAGGAUGACCAGCCACACGGGAUCUGAGCGACGGUCCAGACUCUUACGUGAGGCAGCAGUGUGGGAUAUUGCACAAUGGGCGCAAGCCUGAUGCAGCCAUGCCGCGUGUAUGAAGAAGGCCUUCGGGUUUUAAAGUACUUUCAGCGGGGAGGCGUUACCCGCAGAAGAAGCACCGGCUAACUCCGUGCCAGCAGCCGCGGUAAUAC
rnacentral:rRNA from 1 species